GUGGGGAAUCUUCCGCAAUGGACGAAAGUCUGACGGAGCAACGCCGCGUGAGUGAAGAAGGUUUUCGGAUCGUAAAGCUCUUUCGUUAGGGACGAACGUGCUCUUUGUGAAUAAUGAGGAGUAAUGACGGUACCUAAAUAAGAAGCCACGGCUAACUACGUGCCAGCAGCCGCGGUAAUACGUAGGUGGCAAGCGUUGUCCGGAAUUAUUGGGCGUAAAGCGCGCGCAGGCGGGAUAUCAAGUCUGUCUUAAAAGUGCGAGGCUCAACCUCGUGAGGGGACAGAAACUGGUAUUCUUGAGUGUCGGAGAGGAAAGUGGAAUUCCAAGUGUAGCGGUGAAAUGCGUAGAUAUUAGGAGGAACACCAGUGGCGAAGGCGACUUUCUGGACUGUAACUGACGCUGAGGCUCGAAAGCCAGGGGAGCGAACGGGAUUAGAUACCCUGGUAGUCC
rnacentral:rRNA from 1 species